CUUUCCAUGGCAUCAUCACUGUCCUCGACGCAAAUAUGCUGACAAGAAUAUUAACGAGAAGAAGCCCGAGGGAGGAGUUAACGAGGCUGUUAGACAGGUGGCUCUGGCUGACCUGUUGAUUCUGAACAAGACUGACCUGGGUGAGGCACAGCAGCUACAGGUCGUCACCUCCCUCGUCAGGAUGGACCUAGACAAGAUUCUGGACCUACACUCUUAUGACCAGUUUACACAUCAGUGUUAUGAGACGUCUCUACAUUCACGUUUUGUCGAUGGAGGCCCUCAUCUUGACCAGGUAUGUCUGUCUCUCUGUCUACC